rnacentral:rRNA from 1 species
UUAAGGAACUUUUUCAAUGCCCGAAAGGGUGAACGAGUGAGUCAGAGUGUUUCUCUUCGAGAAACUUUUGUCUGUUGUAAAAAGACAGACGAAUAAGGACUGGGCAAGACCGGUGCCAGCCGCCGCGGUAAUCCCGGCGGUCCGAGUCGCAUCCACAAUUAUUAGGUCUAAAACAUUCGUAGCUUGCUAUACAAGUCUCUUGUGAAAUCUCAAAUCUUAAAUUUGAGGCGUGCAAGAGAUACUGUAUAGCUUGAGACCGGAAGACGCAAAGAGUACGAUAAAGGUAGUGGUAAAAUAUGUUAAUCUUAAUCGGACUAACAAUGGCGAAGGCACUUUGCGAGUACGGAUCUGACAGUGAGGGAUGAAGGCUAGGGGCGCAAAAGGG